rnacentral:rRNA from 1 species
GAUGAACGCUGGCGGCGUGCCUAAUACAUGCAAGUCGAGCGAACAGACGAGGAGCUUGCUCCUCUGACGUUAGCGGCGGACGGGUGAGUAACACGUGGAUAACCUCCCUAUAAGACUGGGAUAACUUCGGGAAACCGGAGCUAAUACCGGAUAAUAUAUUGAACCGCAUGGUUCAAUAGUGAAAGACGGUUUUGCUGUCACUUAUAGAUGGAUCCGCGCCGCAUUAGCUAGUUGGUAAGGUAACGGCUUACCAAGGCAACGAUGCGUAGCCGACCUGAGAGGGUGAUCGGCCACACUGGAACGGAGACGCGGUCCAGACUCCUACGGGAGGCAGCAGUAGGGAAUCUUCCGCAAUGGGCGAAAGCCUGACGGAGCAACGCCGCGUGAGUGAUGAAGGUCUUCGGAUCGUAAAACUCUGUUAUUAGGGAAGAACAAAUGUGUAAGUAACUAUGCACGUCUUGACGGUACCUAAUCAGAAAGCCACGGCUAACUACGUG